CCUACGGGCGGCAGCAGUGGGGAAUUUUGGACAAUGGGCGCAAGCCUGAUCCAGCCAUUCCGCGUGAGUGAAGAAGGCCUUCGGGUUGUAAAGCUCUUUCGCAAGGGAAGAAAACUUAUCCUCUAACAUAGGAUGAGGUUGACGGUACCUUGAUAAGAAGCACCGGCUAACUACGUGCCAGCCGCCGCGGUAAUACGUAGGGUGCGAGCGUUAGUCAGAAGUACUGGGCGUAAAGUGUGCGCAAGCUGUGAAAUCCCCGAGCUCAACUUGGUAACUGCGUUUGAAACUACAAGACUAGAAUAGGGCAGAGGGGGGUAGAAUUCCACGUGUAGCAGUGAAAUGCGUAGAGAUGUGGAGGAAUAUCAAUGGCGAAGGCAGCCCCCUGGGAUCAUAUUGACGCUCAUGCACGAAAGCGUGGGGAGCAAACAGGAUUAGAUACCCCAGUAGUC
rnacentral:rRNA from 1 species